AUUCUACUCCCUCCGUUGCACAAUACAUGCCUUCUAUUUGUCAAAAUAUAUAUGUAUCUAGACAUGUGUUAGUAUAUAGGUACAUCCAUUUUUGGACAAAUGGAAGUCAAGUAUUUUGGAACGGAGGGAGUACACA
rnacentral:pre_miRNA from 1 species